rnacentral:rRNA from 1 species
CCUACGGGUGGCAGCAGUCGAGAAUCAUUCACAAUGGGGGAAACCCUGAUGGUGCGACGCCGCGUGGGGGAAUGAAGGUCUUCGGAUUGUAAACCCCUGUCAUGUGGGAGCAAAUUAAAAAGAUAGUACCACAAGAGGAAGAGACGGCUAACUCUGUGCCAGCAGCAGCGGUAAUACAGAGGGCUCAAGCGUUGUUCGGAAUCACUGGGCGUAAAGCGUGCGUAGGCUGUUUCGUAAGUCGUGUGUGAAAGGCGCGGGCUCAACCCGCGGACGGCACAUGAUACUGCGAGACUAGAGUAAGGGAGGGGGAGCCGGAAUUCUCGGUGUAGCAGUGAAAUGCGUAGAUAUCGAGAGGAACACUCGUGGCGAAGGCGGGUUCCUGGACAUUAACUGACGCUGAGGCACGAAGGCCAGGGGAGCGAAAGGGAUUAGAUACCCGAGUAGUC